rnacentral:miRNA from 1 species
ACAUGAGACACCUGGAAGUCUUGAUAAAAUGCAGAUUUUGAUUCAGCAGGUCUGGUCUUAGGGUCUGAGGUUCUGCAUUUCUAACAAUAUCCCAGGUUCUGCAGAU